rnacentral:rRNA from 1 species
GUCGAGCGAACGGACGAGAAGCUUGCUUCUCUGAUGUUAGCGGCGGACGGGUGAGUAACACGUGGAUAACCUACCUAUAAGACUGGGAUAACUUCGGGAAACCGGAGCUAAUACCGGAUAAUAUUUUGAACCGCAUGGUUCAAAAGUGAAAGACGGUCUUGCUGUCACUUAUAGAUGGAUCCGCGCUGCAUUAGCUAGUUGGUAAGGUAACGGCUUACCAAGGCAACGAUGCAUAGCCGACCUGAGAGGGUGAUCGGCCACACUGGAACUGAGACACGGUCCGGACUCAUACGGGAGGCAGCAGUAGGGAAUCUUCCGCAAUGGGCGAAAGCCUGACGGAGCAACGCCGCGUGAGUGAUGAAGGUCUUCGGAUCGUAAAACUCUGUUAUUAGGGAAGAACAUAUGUGUAAGUAACUGUGCACAUCUCGACGGUACCUAAUCAGAAAGCCACGGCUAACUACGUGCCAGCAGCCGCGGUAAUACGUAGGUGGCAAGCGUUAUCCGGAAUUAUUGGGCGUAAAGCGCGCGUAGGCGGUUUUUUAAGUCUGAUGUGAAAGCCCACGGCUCAACCGUGGAGGGUCAUUGGAAACUGGAAAACUUGAGUGCAGAAGAGGAGAGUGGAAUUCCAUGUGUAGCGGUGAAAUGCGCAGAGAUAUGGAGGAACACCAGUGGCGAAGGCGACUUUCUGGUCUGUAAC